UACGUAGGGGCCGAGCGUUGUCCGGAGUUAUUGGGCGUAAAGCGCGCGCAGGUGGCUUGGCGCGCCCGACGUGAAAGCCCCCGGCUUAACCGGGGAGAGUCGUCGGGGACGGCCGGGCUUGAGGGCGGGAGAGGGUGGUGGAAUUCCCGGUGUAGUGGUGAAAUGCGUAGAGAUCGGGAGGAACACCUGUGGCGAAGGCGGCCACCUGGGCCGACCCUGACGCUGAGGCGCGAAGGCGUGGGGAGCGAACGGG
rnacentral:rRNA from 1 species